rnacentral:rRNA from 1 species
AGUGAACGCUGGCGGCGUGCCUAAUACAUGCAAGUCGAACGGAGUGGCGCACGGGUGAGUAAUAUAUAGCUAAUAUGCCCCUUGCUGGAGGCCAACAGUUAGAAAUGACUUCUCAUACUCCAUAGCAAGGGAUGAGACUAUAUCUUAUCAGCUAGUCGGUGGGGGAACGGCCUACAGAGGCUAUGCAGCGUAACUGGUCUGAGAGGAUGAUCAGUCACAUUGGAACGGAGACACGGGCCAAACUCCUACGGGAGGCAGCAGUAGGGAAUAGUGCGCAAUGGGGGAAACCCUGACGAAGCAACGCCGCGUGGAGGAUGACACUUUUCGGAGCGUAAACUCCUUUUGUUAGGGAAGCGGUACCUAACGAAUAAGCACCGGCUAACUCCGUGCCAGCAGCCGCGGUAAUUC